CUGAGGUACUGACAGCUGCGUGUUAUGUUUCACUGGCGAGCUAGUCAUCCACCUUUUGCUUAGUUUUAAGACCGAAUUUGAAUCUGGUUCCUGGAAGUCCUAAAGGUGCCCCUCCCUGUGUCCGUGCAGCCAGGUGACUGUGCUCCUGUUGGGGAUCAGCACCCUGACCCUCCAGUUCUACGUGCUGCUACGGCCCAGGUCCUCCCGGUUCUGCAGCCAGCCCCUCAUGGCCAACCUGGUCGGUAGCAUGGUCUUCACCCUGCUCACACUUGGGCUCUUUGUGCUGCUCACUCAGACGGAGCUGGCCCCGUUGGCUCUAAGGACAGCACUGGCGGUAUUUGGCGUGGCGUCCUUUGGUGAAGGAGUCUGCGCUGGGCUGUUAACACUCCUGGCUUCAGACUGCGAGAAAACCACCCCUGAACUUUACUAUGUCUCUGUGGUGCUGUCAGUGGGCAGCCUGGUAUCCACGGUGCUUUUUUCUGGCAUGGGGCUCAUCUGGCUGUCCAAAGUGACCUGCCCAAGGCCAGAUGCUAAGCCAACAGUCUGAAGCUAGCCCAUAGGUCCUGCUGUUUUCCUGCCUCAUUUACACACCUGGGCUGACUGAGUCCGCCCCAGCAUUACCACUGUGUACCGUCAAGCAUCUCACAAGAUGACCUCCUAGCUGCCAUUUCUACAUAAAAUGUCUGCUGUACAUCAUAACCACGCAAGAAGCAUGCUAAGACUAGCCAUCAUAGAAGUUGCU
rnacentral:lncRNA from 1 species